AAUCCUCCUGCUUUUGUAGACCCUUUACAAAUAUAUCAUAACACGAUAUAUUCUUAAGAAGAUAAAUAUUGUUGAGAAAAAAACUAAGAUUAUACGAAUUAUUUUGAAAUUGUUCAAAUUUCGAAUCCUUGCAAAAAAAAAAACUAAUAAAAAUGAGGUGAAAAAAUAUAUGGUAAUCAAUCAUUAGUACUAUAAGAGAAUAACUAUGUACUUAAAGAAUUUGCUCAACAAAUUCUUUAGUGACUACAUUUUUCCUUCACUAUGAGUUAAAUUUUGUGUUCUAUUUUGAAAAAGCAUACUACAUAUUUAGAUGCUUCUUUAUACUUCCUC
rnacentral:lncRNA from 1 species